AUACUUACCUGGCAGGGAACAUACCAUGAUCACGAAGGUGGUUUUCCCAGGGCAAGGCUUAUCCAUUGCACUCCGGUUGUGCUGAGCCCUGCAAUUUCCCCAAAUGUGGGAAACUUGACUGCAUAAUUUGUGGUUGUGCGUUCAUGCUUU
rnacentral:snRNA from 1 species